GGGGAACUCUGGGAAAGAGAGACGGGCGGGAGAUUUGCUACUGUGAUGCGGAGAAAGUUGGACGUAUGUAACCGAGGAGGGUUACCCUCAGUGGGAGGUGCAAGCCGCCGAACAGCUCAACAGAGACAACACGCGGAAGAUACCUAUCUAAGCCCAGACAGAAGCCCUUGAACAGCUGAAUUCGUGCUCAAUGAUUCUCAUGGUUCCGUGAUGGUGCUGAAUCCAGACGGGAAAGCAGAGUGCUGUGCAUGGGAGGCAGCUUUGGCAUUUCACAUACCAUGGACAGAGAAUACGUGGAGGGAGUCACGAGGGCGAGGUACUAUUUGAAAAACAAGGCAACUGGAAGACUUUGCUCAGAGGAAGGUACCCAGGAGCUGCUGCCAAAGAGCCAAAUCUCGCUUCUUCAGCUCAGCACCGUGGAGGUCGCCAUGCAGCUCUCCACGAGUUCCAAUGUUGAAUUCUUCCACAACAUUGAGCCUAAUGAAUACAUAGGUGAUUUAUUUAAACUCAAAUAAAAAACCAGCUUAGCCAACCUGAAGAAACUUGAGGAAGUCUUUAACCAGGAAACAUUUGGGUGGCUUCUGAAAUCCUGGGAGAGACAACUAGCUGAAAGAGAAUGAAGAUCUUCAAGCCUUCAUUAAGAUUGCCUCGCACUGUAGGGAAUGCAAGAAUUUUAACUCCAUGUUUGCAGUCAUCAGGUAAGAGGACCUGUCCUAUGAGAAGCUGACUCUACAGAUUUAACUAUAUAUAUAUACACUAGUUUUGGAAUACUAUAUAAUUAUAGAAAUAUUGACUUCAUAA
rnacentral:lncRNA from 1 species